rnacentral:rRNA from 1 species
AAUGAACGCUGGCGGCAGGCCUAAUACAUGCAAGUCGAACGGUGUCUUCGGACAUAGUGGCGCACGGGUGCGUAACACGUAUGCAACCUACCUUACAUUGGGGGAUAGCCUUUCGAAAGGGAGAUUAAUACCGCAUAAGACAGUAGCUGGGCAUCCAGCAGCUGUUAAAGAUUUAUCGAUGUAAGCUGGGCAUGCGUCCAAUUAGCUAGUUGGUGAGGUAACGGCUCACCAAGGCAAUGAUUGGUAGGGGAACUGAGAGGUCAAUCCCCCACACUGGCACUGGGAUACGGGCCAGACUCCUACGGGAGGCAGCAGUAGGGAAUAUUGGGCAAUGGACGCAAGUCUGACCCAGCCAUGCCGCGUGCAGGAUGAAGGCGUUAUGCGUUGUAAACUGCUUUUAUACAGGAAGAAACGACUCUUGCGAGAGGCAUUGACGGUACUGUAUGAAUAAGCACCGGCUAACUCCGUGCCAGCAGCCGCCGCCGUAA